ACGGAGGGGGCUAGCGUUGUUCGGAAUUACUGGGCGUAAAGCGCACGUAGGCGGACCAGAAAGUUGGAGGUGAAAUCCCAGGGCUCAACCUUGGAACUGCCUUCAAAACUAUUGGUCUGGAGUUCGAGAGAGGUGAGUGGAAUUCCGAGUGUAGAGGUGAAAUUCGUAGAUAUUCGGAGGAACACCAGUGGCGAAGGCGGCUCACUGGCUCGAUACUGACGCUGAGGUGCGAAAGCGUGGGGAGCAAACAG
rnacentral:rRNA from 1 species